UUUUCUUCACCUUUUGCAUACAAGUUUUUUGUUCUGAAAUAGAAAUUUUUAUUUCACCUAACUUUCUUGGCUAUGAAGCCCCAUAGAUCUCAAUUCAAUAUUAAAUUGGUUUUGGAUUUUUCGUUAUUUAGAACUUAGAAAUGAUCGUGACUUAGGUAAAAUGUCAUGGAAUGCUCAAAUAUACCUCAAAAAGGUAUUUUCUAAGAUGAGGAGUAAAAAGAUAACAACCAUAUGUGUGUGUGUCUGAUGUUUCCAUGUGGUAAACAGAAAUGGUAAAUUUUCUGUUAUCUGUGUUUCAGAACCAUUUCUAGUCCAAACAGUGAAAAGACUAGAAGUUAUACUCCUUUCUUUAUGUUCGUUAUUUUUAUUGAGACUGUACUCGAGAUCUCAGAACUCCGGGGUACCACUGAGUUAAAGCUCAUUGGACUUUCUUGAUGUUUCUUAAUUUCAAUUUGCCUAACUUUUGGUGCCAUUUCAACAUCUUUUGCCAACUCUUUCUUUUCUUUCCCCUUCUAAAUUGAUCUUAGAUAUUGUCUGUGUGAAUUAGAACUUGAGGAUUGCUGGUAUGACAAACAAUAUGAACUUAAGAUCUCAAUGCAAUAAUUAUGGUUUUGUUCUACAAGUGUUAAUUCUCUUUGUUUCUUGGUCUAAUUUAUUGUUUAUGACUUGCAGUUUGUGUAAUGUUAUAGUGAUUUAUCCUUUUCUAUUGGACUCCUUUUCUGCAGUUAUUCUAACAUUUACUGUGCUCUUU
rnacentral:misc_RNA from 1 species